AGUGAACGCUGGCGGUAGGCCUAACACAUGCAAGUUGAACGGCAGCACAGUAAGAGCUUGCUCUUACGGGUGGCGAGUGGCGGACGGGUGAGGAAUACAUCGGAAUCUACUUUUUCGUGGGGGAUAACGUAGGGAAACUUACGCUAAUACCGCAUACGACCUACGGGUGAAAGCAGGGGAUCUUCGGACCUUGCGCGAUUGAAUGAGCCGAUGUCGGAUUAGCUAGUUGGCGGGGUAAAGGCCCACCAAGGCGACGAUCCGUAGCUGGUCUGAGAGGAUGAUCAGCCACACUGGAACUGAGACACGGUCCAGACUCCUACGGGAGGCAGCAGUGGGGAAUAUUGGACAAUGGGCGCAAGUCUGAUCCAGCCAUACCGCGUGGGUGAAGAAGGCCUUCGGGUUGUAAAGCCCUUUUGUUGGGAAAGAAAAGCAGCAGGUUAAUACCCCGCUGUUCUGACGGUACCCAAAGAAUAAGCACCGGCUAACUUCGUG
rnacentral:rRNA from 1 species